UACGUAGGGGGCAAGCGUUGUCCGGAAUCAUUGGGCGUAAAGCGCGUGUAGGCGGCCCGAUAAGUCCGCUGUGAAAGUCCAGGGCUCAACCCUGGAAUGCCGGUGGAUACUGUCGGGCUCGAGUCCGGAAGAGGCGAGUGGAAUUCCUGGUGUAGCGGUGAAAUGCGUAGAGAUCAUGAGGAAGACCAGUGGCGAAGGCGGGUCUCUGGACAGUUCCUGACACUGAGACACGAAGGCCAGGGGGAGCAAACGGG
rnacentral:rRNA from 1 species